rnacentral:tRNA from 1 species
GUCCUCGUAGCUUAAUAACAAAAGCAUGGCACUGAAGAUGCCAAGAUGUUGCGGCACGCACCCGAGGACA